CUUCUCAUCCUUCGGUCCACGCUCUGCACUGCUGACAUAGCUAUCCUCCCAAAACACCAAAUGGACGGGCCUCUGUCUGCGGGCCUCUGCCUGUGUGGCUUCCCGGCCAGCUGGGGCUGAGUUUGUGGCCACCUCGCUCCUGGCUAACUCCAGCUACUUCUGCCAGCCAAUGGACUGCAGCCCAAGUGAGCUUUGCAUGAGGGUAUGGCUGCCAGGGGGAGUGAACCAACUGGGUCAGCACAGGCUCAGAAGGCCUCUGCUUGAAUCUCAGCUCUGCCAGUUACUUGCUAUGUGACCAUGGGUUGCCUACUUACCUUUUAUGGGCCUCAGUGUUCUUAUCUAUAAAAUGGGGAUCAUAGUUUCUACGUUGUAAAAGGAAACAAGUGACAGAAGAUUAAAUUAGAUAAUGUAUGAAAGUGUUUAGCCCUGGGCCUGGCACACACUGAGUGCUGGCUAAGGGGUAGAUAUUUCAGUAUUUUUAGCUGUUCUCUGUCUCAACUGGAAGCAGAAAGAAAGGUUUCCUUCCAGCAAAAAAAAUCUAGCGGAGGCUUGACAAGUUACCUGGGAGUGAUUGGGAUGCUGAAUCAGGGAUGUUGAGCAAUGAGCUAACAUCUGGUCCCCGGACCGGCAGCAUCAGCACCGCCUGGCAGCUUGUUGAACAUGCAGAAGCUCAUGUCCCACCGCCAGCGCACUGAAUAAAAAUCUGCUUUUCAACAAACAAGAUCCCAGGUGAUCCUUAUACUCCUUAGAUUGCACGGCUGCGGGCUGGGCACGUUUGGAGAGUCCUUCUGUUAUCACUCCAGUAGCUUCUCCCCUCUUUCCUGUGUUAACAGGCGUCUUCCCGCAGACAGGUGGGCACUAUGGGAGCAGUGGGCGGCGCAGAACAGUGAGUACUGGGGCUGAAGCCAGUGUGAGCUGCGCCCCAGGACAGAGGUCUGACUGCAUUCCCCCUUCCUUCCCAGCAGAUGGCGAGCGUGUGCUGAUAACGCUUCUCUCAAAGGCCUUUGAGUUGCUUGACCCACCCCGUAAGCGCUUAGGCGCUUGUGCUGAGUUUCCUCUGUCUUCUGGGUUUGGGGUGGUGUGCGUGCAGUGUCCUGUGUGAACACCUCCCUCCAGCCUCCCUGUCGGAUGUCCUCAGGAUUUGCCCAGGCGGCCGCGGCUGAGGCUGAUGUUAGAGCAAAGCCUUGGUCCCAGUACCUGGUGGAGGAAGGACGCUCACCGAAGCAGCGUCUCAGCGCCACAGGCUCCCACCGGCCCCCACACUUCACCCACGCACCUGCAUAAAAGUAGGCAUUUGCCCCAUUAGCAACCAGGUUCCAGGGUACAUGAAAAUGAAAGAUAAACACAUUUUAAAAAUUAAUAUUGUGUGGCAAGGGUCAUCAGACAGCAAAAGCUGUCCUUAAGUGUUAAUGAGGAGGAGAAACCCUGCUUAUGAAUCCAGAAGGCUCACAGGAUUGAGGGGGAUGGGGCAUGGUCAUGAUUUGGGGGUACAGAGGAAAGGGAGGGGGCUCUUUUUUAUCAAUUCCUUACCAAAAUGGAGUAAGAGUAGAGAAGCUUUCGGAAUUGAUCUCAUGGUUGUCUGGGUCCUAGGCUGCAUGUUCAACAACUGAGUUCUCUGCUAUCCUACCUGGGGGGUGACUUAACCUUGGGCAAGUUACUUAACUUCUCUGUGCCUGAGUUUUCCCAUCUGUAAAGUGGAAGUAAGUAUAAAUCAUAUAGUAUUAUUGUAAGUGUUUCUAUGAUUCUUUUAUGCAUACAAAGUACCCGGCACACAGUAGGUACUAUACAGGUGUUUGACUAGUAUUAUUUCCCUUGAGUUUCAGUCUCCCCUUUAGUAAGACAGAACCACUCCCUUCUUGGUACUUGAGGUCCCAGGAGAAGAGUCUGGAGAAACAAGGCCCCCACAGUUGACACUAUCUUUUCUUCCUCUCCAGGUCUUCUUUACAUUAUGAGAGAAACCAGAGCAGAUCACCUUUCAGCACAUCUACAACCAUGACAUCAUGCUCUUCAACUGGUGGGCUGGAGUCAAAUAUGUGCCAGGUGGUCAAGCUACAUGACGCAGCCGAGGGCAGCCCUACCCAGGCCCUUGUGAGGCAGGUCUCUCUCUGCUGGGUGAAGUUUCCAGCGUGGGAGACAUACCUGAGGAGCAAGAGGGAGAAGCUGACUUCAGUGGCCGGAUGUGAGAACUAAUACUGGCUGAGCCGUCCUACAGAGAGUUGUGUGGAAGACAUCAGGGCUUACAGCCUACCCGCACGGAGCAGGCACCUCUGGGCCUGCAUUUUGUCCUGCGAAGGAACGAGGAGAAUUGCCUCCUGUCCAGAGUUCAGGAGGACAGAAUCGGAGUCAGCUUCCUGUACACACUUCUGUGACGGCACUUCUCACAUGGAUUUAUGACUAUUUGCUUCUUCCUCUGCUAGACAUGAGCCUCUCGUGGGAGAGACUGUCUUAUUCUCAAUGUUCCCCACACCUGGCACAGCACCACCAAUAAUGUGUGCUUGGAUCCUUGUAUUCCACUAUUGGCAGUCAUGAUCUCUGGUGAAAAUCAGGGCUCGGGGUGUGGAAGAAGUCAAGGCUGGCUCGAUAUCUUACAGUGGGAAACAAUGGCGGAGAAUAUCCAAGAGUGAGCAUGGGUCUGUUUGUUUGGUGAUGUGGCUACGUAAACGGUUACCGUGCAUAUCUUCUUGUGUGUUCACUGCUGCCUGCACGGGUAUUUCUACAGUUGUAUGAUUCUCUGUGUGUGAAUGGGGUUGUGUAUGUGUCUAAACAGACACAGAGAGG